UGACAAAGUUGGUAGGUUUAUUAAAUACUAUAAAUAUGUUUGUAUGUAUGUUUGUUACAAAACUGUUUAAACCAAUUGAAUUUAGAAAAAUAUUUAAGACGAUCAUUGAAAAUGGCUUACAAACAGAGACAGUGAAGGAAGGUAAUACGUCCAGUAACCAAUGAUAAAAAAAAGUAUGUAUGUACAUAUGUAUAUGCAUAUAAAGCGGUUAGUUAUUUGAAAGUAUGUAUAUGAAGUUAUGAAUUUGAAAGUUCCACUGAAGCUUUAGAAGUAGUCCAAGCAAAAUUAUUAACUAUACAUAUGUAUGUAUGUAUGUAUGUAUGUGGGUUUUGAAGCUGUAGUAAUGGUUCCAUUUAAGUAGCACCAGUAUUCCACUUAGUUUUUAGGCGGUUUUUUGCAUAUACUACAUAUAUAUUGUAUGUAAAGAAAUAACUGUACAAGUAACGGUUAAUAUAUAGUAUGUAAAUACGUUUUUCAUUUUAAACAAAAGUCAUAUUUUAUUUUUUUUUUAUACUCAUACAACAAUAUCACAUUGCUUUAAAUACCAAAAAUAAAUGGCACCACUGUUAUUGCAACUUGAAGUUGGUUGCUAUGCCCAACAUGUGAUUCAAAGCAAAAAUUUAAUUAUAAGUUUUUAUUUCAGAAAUUUCGGCAGAUAAAAUAUAAAAUUAUCAAGUCAAUUUAAUCGAAUCGCAAGGAAACAGCUGUAAAAUACAUACAUAUAUGUAUGAUAGUUGACGAAACAGCUUCGCUAAAAUUGUAAAGAUGCAUGGUGAUGGUGCUCUUAGUCGUGCCCAGAUUUUCAGGAGGAGCGUGAAAGCGUGGAAUGUAGCCGUAGAAUCGCCCGCAAAGAAUUUCUUCGACCAGGACAAACCGUAAAUCAAGUCUACUAUCGCCAAGUACUCGAAAGAAUGUGUGCGCGGUACCACACCGCCUCAGCGUGUCCCAAUAUUUGGCCCCUAAAGGGAUCGCUGUGUUGCAACAACCGCCUUAUUCGCCCGAUAUGUCACCCUGAGACCUCUUUUUGUUCCUUAGAAUAAAAUCGGUGGUCAAAGGAACCCCUUUUGAGGACAUCCAGGCGGCUGUGACGAGUGUACUCGCGGACAUCUCAGUCGAAGCGUUCUAGAAAUAUUGCAAAGCAUGGAAAACGCGCUGAAAUCGUUGUAUAGUUCCCCAAGAGGACUACUUCGAAGGGGAUGCCAGAGUUGUAGCAUAAUUUUGAAAUAUACGGUUUUUAUUGAAUCAGUCUCAUACUUAA